rnacentral:rRNA from 1 species
AUUGAACGCUGGCGGCAGGCCUAACACAUGCAAGUCGAACGAGUGGCGGACGGGUGAGUAAUGUCUGGGAAACUGCCUGAUGGAGGGGGAUAACUAAUGGAAACGGUAGCUAAUACCGCAUACCAUCGGAUGUGCCCAGAUGGGAGUUGCUUGUUGGUGGGGUAAAGGCUCACCAAGGCGACGAUCCCUGGCUGGUCUGAGAGGAUGACCAGCAACACUGGAACUUAGACACGGUCCAGACUCCUACGGUAGGCAACAGUGGGGAAUAUUGCACAAUGGGCGCAAGCCUGAUGCAGCCAUGCCGCGUGUAUGAAGAAGGCCUUCGGGUUGUAAAGUACUUUCAGCGGGGAGGCGUUACCCGCAGAAGAAGCACCGGCUAACUCCGUGCCAGCAGCCGCGGUAAUAC